rnacentral:tRNA from 1 species
UCCCUGGUGGCUCAGUGGUAAAGAAUCCGCCUGCCAAUGCAGAAGACCCAGGUUGGAUCCCUGGUCUGGGAA